rnacentral:misc_RNA from 1 species
AAGACAUGAGCAUGGAUUUAAAUCGAGGUAGCGGGUGUAAGGUAGUGGUAACAACCUAUCGCUAUACAAAUUUUUUAAACAAAUUCACCAAAUAAAAUAAACUAACAGAUAGUAGUAGAACCAACUAAAAUUAUAAAUCCUAUAAAAUAAUGAAUACAACUAUUUAAUUUCUUUAAUAACAAAUAAUUCAACUAAUGCAAAACACCCCUCUUUUAAACCCAAAGUAUGGAGAACAAGCCUUUCCAUUUGCUCAUGAUAAAAGUAAAAAGAGGACUUAAGUUUAAGUGGGUGGAAGAAACUCAAGGCAAAGCAGCUCAAAUGGGUUUAUUGGACUGUCAGCAGCUUAGGUAAAGAAAGAAAUGAGCUUUCUAAAAAAAAGGCUGUUAUAGCCAUUACUUAAAGGAACAGUGUUUGCAAAUGACCAUCACCGCAUUAUGUAAUGGUGGCAACAGCCGUUGCUAAUUAAAAAAAAUCUGUAUGUUAUAUGAUGGGGUCAACUGUUACAGUGACCCCAAAAUCUGUUACAUAACAGCUAUGACAUUAUGUAAUGUUAAUGGACAUAAGCAAUAAACCCUUGAGCAUGGAUAUUAGCAUUAGAAAGUAAAAACCAAGUCAAGAAUAGUUUCAUCUUUGGGAGGGCCAUAAAGGUUUUUCCAUACUGUGCACAUUACACAUGUGCACGCUCAAACAAUC